ACUUCUACCACCUACCUUGAAGCAGAUGCCCUGGAGGCUGGAAGACCUGAAUUCAAAUUUGACCUGAGACACUAGCUGUGUGACCCUGAGUAAGUC
rnacentral:lncRNA from 1 species